ACCAGACUCCUACGGGAGGCAGCAGUGGGGAAUAUUGCACAAUGGGGGGAACCCUGAUGCAGCGACGCCGCGUGAGUGAAGAAGUAUUUCGGUAUGUAAAGCUCUAUCAGCAGGGAAGAAAAUGACGGUACCUGACUAAGAAGCCCCGGCUAACUACGUGCCAGCAGCCGCGGUAAUACGUAGGGGGCAAGCGUUAUCUGGAUUUACUGGGUGUAAAGGGAGCGCAGACGGCUGUGCAAGUCUGGAGUGAAAGGCGGGGGCCCAACCCCCGGACUGCUCUGGAAACUGUAAAGCUGGAGUGCAGGAGAGGUAAGCGGAAUUCCUAGUGUAGCGGUGAAAUGCGUAGAUAUUAGGAGGAACACCAGUGGCGAAGGCGGCUUACUGGACUGCAACUGACGUUGAGGCUCGAAAGCGUGGGGAGCAAACAGGAUUAGAUACCCCGGUAC
rnacentral:rRNA from 1 species